AAAAAAAUUCAUUAACUAUAAAAAUUAUUUUAAUAAUUUUUUAUUUUAAUAAAAAAUUCAUUAACUAUAACAUUUGUGGGUGUGUGUAGGGUUUUGUUUGAGAACACACACACAACACAAACACAACAGAGCCGUCUCCUCUCCUCCUGCUCUCUCCGUCUAGGGUUUCGCCUUCCUCUCUCUCUUUCACACAAUGACAGCGCCGAUCAUCCGUCACCACCGAUCCUCCCUCACCCCCGAUCCUCCCUCACCGUCGCUCGUACCUCACUGUCGAUCCUCCUCCCUUACCGCCGCUGCUGCCUCCCUCUCUCUCUCUCUCAAACGACGUUGAUGGUUGCUCGCCCCUCACCGCCACUCCUCCCUCGCCGGCGAUCUUCCCUCACCGCCGAUUUCAAAGGAUAAACACCAAAAUU